GGGAGAGGCACUGCUGAGCCUCUGCCCAGCCAGCCUUGCUACAGAGAGCGCUGGCUUGCUGUUUUCAGUUUGUCAUUUAUCCAUGAAGUCCAAGACAUUUCAAUUCAGGUGGAUCUUUAAGAUGAAGCUGCUGCUUCUCCAAUGUGCUGAAAAUGUUUUAAGUGCUUUGGAAAAACUAAAUAGAUGCUACUGUACAAAAAAAAAGAGGUACUUAAAAGAAUAUAAAACUUAUAAAAUACACAGGAUACUUUUGAGUUUCCUGUUUUAAAAUGAACCCAGGAGGACGCUAAGAUUACAGAACAGAUUCUAAUCUGUAGCAUUUUGCCACCCCUAGAUGGCGUGAACUAAAAGCCUAAACAGCUUUUAAUGUUAUUAUUGCUACUGACAGGAGGACUUCUCAAUUAAGUUCUGUUACAGGAAAUUCUAACCUAUUUUCUACUGCCACCGUGAGACUUUCCUGUUAGGUACGUGCAGCUCCUGAAGCAUUUGUCUGCUUUUGGCUUCCAGAAACAUGAGCCUUUCAUCUAUUACAGGCCUGGAAGGGCUCUCUCUUACUUAAGGUCAAAAAUGUCCUUGAAAAAAUAUUUUGAAUGACAUCCAAUUGUUACCUUGUGGUUCUAUGCAACAGUCUGGCUUGAGAUCGAUGGUGAAGUGCACACAGGGCACCAGGAAAACCUCAUUCUGCAACAAAUACACCUUGGGAGAGAUCAUCACGUAUCCUGCCUUUUAGCUACAGGAGAAAAGCAGUUUUAUUGAUGGUACAUUACUCUGAAUUUCAGUGGCGUCACCUGCACUGGAGCUGUACUUGGACUCCCACUGCCACUUUUGGUGAGGGAAUUUCUGCCACCUCCUCCAGCCCCCUGUGAAGACCCCACACACC
rnacentral:lncRNA from 1 species